rnacentral:rRNA from 1 species
UACAGAGGUCUCGAGCGUUAGGCGGAAUCACUGGGCUUAAAGCGUGUGUAGGUGGAUCGUUAAGUACCUUGUGAAAUCCCACGGCUUAACCGUGGAACUGCUUGGUAUACUGGCGGUCUUGAGCCAGCUAGGGGCUACCGGAACAAAUGGUGGAGCGGUGAAAUGCGUAGAUAUCAUUUGGAACGCCAAUGGUGAAAACAGGUAGCUGGGGCUGUGCUGACAGCUG